AUGGGAGCGCUUCCUGUGCCAUUCCGCCCCACGUUCUCAGCUUCUUGGACUCGGUUAAGAUGCCAACGGCGCCGCUUCUCGCUACCCCGGCCCCCAGGCGCAAGCGGGCCAAAAUCCCGCCCAACUUCACGCCACGCCGUAGCGGACGGAUCGCCUCACAAAAUCAGGGAUACGACGCGGAAACAAAAGCCAAACGCGUGCUUCUUCGCAAGCUUGGCCUGCUCGGGAGCGACGAGCCGCUAUCCGCCGACCUUCUCGCUAGAUACUCACGGCUCUUCGACCGACCGCUGGCCACGGAUGUCGUCCUUGCUUUUGCGGACUUCUUUGGAUGGCGUGUGCCGCGGGAGCUUAUCGCGAGCCCCGUGCAUGGCCAGGCCCUCCUCACCGAGGCAUGACUGGGCGUUUCCUAGUCCAUCUUGGGCCCCCCCAACUCUUAUGGAUAAUCACAUCAAAGUUGUAGUCUGGAAUGUGUGUGCUCUUAACAGCAAAGCCAAGCGCAUCGCUGUCCGCACCGUUAUUGCCUCUACUUCCCCCCUCGUGGUCUGCCUUCAAGAGACUAAAUUGUCCCUAGUGACGCCUACUCUGGUUUUCGAGACGCUUGGUGCCAGCUUCGCCGACUUCUACUUCCUCCCCGCGGUGGGCACACGCGGUGCCAUUCUUCUCGCUUGGCGUAGCGACGUGAUCGCUCUGGCCAACCCGACCAUCGGGACCUACCACGUCUCUGCAACGGUCUCUUCCCUUUCGGGGAACGACACCCGGUGGAUCACCGGCGUUUACGGGCCGCAAAGCGCCCCAGACAAACUUGCGUUCCUCUCUGAGCUUCACGACCUGCGGGAAUCUAUUGCCGGACCUUGGGUCUUAGGCGGCGACUUCAACAUGGUGACCUCCAUCGCUGACAAGAGCAACGGCCGUGUCAACCACCGUACAAUGAAUCAAUUCAGGCGCUUCAUUGCCGACUCGGCCUUGCGCGAUAUCUACCUCCAUGGCCGAAGAUUCACUUGGUCCAACGAGCAAGACAACCCCACGCUCGUGCGCAACGAUCAUGUUCUAUGCACACCCUCGUGGGAGAUCAACAACCCCAACCACAUGCUCCAUUGCCUCGCUUCGGCGGUCUCCGACCACCGUCCACUCGUCCUUGACUGUUCUCCCCGCAAGCGCGGCCGGCCGCGCUUCCACUUCGAGCGAUUUUGGACCAAGCUUGAGGGCUUCCACCAUACCGUUUCCACGGCCUGGCACUCUGAGGAGCCCGACCCGGACCCAUUCCGGCGAAUCUACGCGCGCCUAAAGGCUACGGCGCGCGCGCUCAGGAGCUGGAGCUCGCGCUCGCUCGGCGACAUCUCUACGCAGCUCCUGGUUUCCUGCGAACUUAUAUAUCGCCUCGACCUGGCACAAGACAAGCGCACUCUUUCUGCUAGUGAAGCCUGGCUCCGGCGGGAGCUCAAACGCAAGUACUUGGGUCUGGCCUCUCCUGACCGCUCCAUUGCUUGUGAGCGGGCUCGCUUCUCCUGGCUCAAGGAGGGAGACACUAAUACGGCAUUCCUCAAAAUCCACACCGCUCAUCGAUGCUAA
rnacentral:rRNA from 1 species